rnacentral:rRNA from 1 species
CCUACGGGUGGCAGCAGUGAGGAAUAUUGGUCAAUGGGGGAAACCCUGAUGCAGCGAAGUCGCGUGAGGGAAGAAGGACCUAGGGAUGGAAAACUUUAUUAGCAGGGGAGAAAAUGACGGUACGUGAUUAAGAAGGUACGGCUAACUACGAGCAAGCAGCCGCGGUAAUACGUAGGGGGCAAGCGUUAUCCGGAUUUACUGGGUUUAAAGGGGGCGUAGACGGCAGCACAAGUCAGGAGUGAAAUGCCGCGGCUUAACCCGGGAAUUGCAUUGGAAACUGGGCAGCUAGAGUGCAGGAGAGGUAAGCGGAAUGCGUGGUGUAGCGGUGAAAUGCGUAGAUAUUACGAAGAACGCCGAUGGCGAAGGCAGCUUACUGGACUGUAACUGACGUUGAGGCUCGAAAGCGUGGGGAUCAAACAGGAUUAGAUACCCCUGUAGUC